CACUCCUCAAACUUUAAAAACUGUAAAAUAAUUAGACAUUUAUAACACAUUUCUGAUAAACACAUCAUUAUUGUACUUAAAUAAUAACCUUUGGUCCCAGAGGCGGUUUAUUUUUUUUCAGAAUCACUGCAUUGUACAUCAAUCUUAGCUGACAAGCUGACUUGCCACCUAGGAUAACUUUAAUUCUGUUCCUGUGUGUCCAACUUGUCUGGUUACAACUACAUGUCUGUUCG